rnacentral:rRNA from 1 species
CCUACGGGGGGCAGCAGUGAGGAAUAUUGGUCAAUGGGCGCGAGCCUGAACCAGCCAAGUCGCGUGAGGGAAGACGGCCCUAUGGAUUGUAAACCUCUUUUGUCGGGGAGCAAAAGACGCCACGCGUGGCGUUCCGAGAGUACCCGAAGAAAAAGCAUCGGCUAACUCCGUGCCAGCAGCCGCGGUAAUACGGAGGAUGCGAGCGUUAUCCGGAUUUAUUGGGUUUAAAGGGUGCGCAGGCGGAAGAUGAAGUCAGCGGUAAAAUUGAGGGGCUCAACCUCUUCGAGCCGUUGAAACUGGGUUUCUAGAGUGAGUGAGAGGUAUGCGGAAUGCGUGGUGUAGCGGUGAAAUGCAUAGAUAUCACGCAGAACUCCGAUUGCGAAGGCAGCAUACCGGCGCUCAACUGACGCUCAGGCACGAAAGUGUGGGUAUCGAACAGGAUUAGAUACCCGAGUAGUC